rnacentral:rRNA from 1 species
AUUUUGGACAACGGGGGCAACCCUGAUCCAGCCAUCCCGCGUGUGCGAUGAAGGCCUUNGGGUUGNANAGCACUUUUGGCAGGGANAAAAAGGCGCCGGCUAAUACCUGGCGCCGCUGACGGUGCCUGCAGAAUAAGCACCGGCUAACUACGUGCCAGCAGCCGCGGUAAUACGUAGGGUGCAAGCGUUAAUCGGAAUUACUGGGCGUAAAGCGUGCGCAGGCGGUUCGGAAAGAAAGAUGUGAAAUCCCAGGGCUUAACCUUGGAACUGCAUUUUUAACUGCCGGGCUAGAGUAUGUCAGAGGGGGGUAGAAUUCCACGUGUAGCAGUGAAAUGCGUAGAGAUGUGGAGGAAUACCGAUGGCGAAGGCAGCCCCCUGGGAUGAUACUGACGCUCAUGAACGAAAGCGUGGGGAGCAAACAGG